CCUACGGGUGGCAGCAGUGGGGAAUAUUGCACAAUGGGGGAAACUCUGAUGCAGCGACGCCGCGUGAGUGAAGAAGGAUUUCGGUAUGUAAAGCUCUAUCAGCAGGGAAGAAAAUGACGGUACCUGAUUAAGAAACCCCGGCUAACUACGCGCCAGCAGCCGCGGUAAUACGUAGGGGGCAAGCGUUAUCCGGAUGUACUGGGUGUAAAGGGAGCGUAGACGGGAGCACAAGUCUGGAGUGAAAUGCCGGGGCUCAACCCCGGAACUGCAUUUGAAACUGUGUAGCUAGAGUGCAGGAGAGGUAAGUGGAAUUCCUAGUGUAGCGGUGAAAUGCGUAGAUAUAAGGAGGAACACCAGUGGCGAAGGCGGAUUACUGGACUGUAACUGACGGUGAGGCUCGAAAGCGUGGGGAGCAAACAGGAUUAGAUACCCGGGUAGUC
rnacentral:rRNA from 1 species